rnacentral:lncRNA from 1 species
AAUGUUAUGGUAAAANCCUUUGAGAGAUAUUUCUAUAAUUAGUUUGUUUCUCUUCUAUCUCCCAUUUAUCUAUUUUCUUUAGUUAUUCACUAGAGCAAUUAGGAUCUGGAAGUCGAUCCGGGGCAAGUGUUCGGAUCUAUUAUGACAUCGCCAUGAGGCGCUCAACGGACCUUUUUUAUCUUAUAAAACCUUUUUGUAGCUUUGGAUUGAUGCAAAAACGACUUUUUUGUACAACCUAGUGUAGAUUCAUAUCUCAAUUAGAAGGUCUUAGAUAGAGCUGCUUUAUCUUUUCCAUAGAUGAUAUGAAUUACUCUAUUCCAAAUCACGCGAGCAGCCAUUACUAAGAGACAUCCCGGUAUAUAUUUUAUUUAGUUGUUAAUUUAGAUUUAAAUUUAGGUUUUUAAAAAAGAAUUCGUUUUCAUAUUAAUAAUUUAAUUAUUAAUAAUAAUAAAAAAAAAAAAAAGAAGAAGGAAU